AUGGCCCGUGCUGUUGCUUCGUUGAAUUUUAACGCGUUCCUUGAGAAAGCAAAGUUGAAAGAUGAUGGUAGCAAUUACACGGACUGGGUCUGUAAUUUGAGGAUUAUCCUCAUUGUUGCACAGAAGAAUUACGUCCUGGAAGCACCGCUGGGUGCCAGGCCUGCUGCAGGAGCAACACCAGAUGUUAUGAACGUCUGGCAGAGCAAAGCUGAUGACUACUCGAUAGUUCAGUGUGCCAUGCUUUACGGCUUAGAACCGGGACUUCAACGACGUUUUGAACGUCAUGGAGCAUAUGAGAUGUUCCAGGGGUUGAAGUUAAUAUUUCAAGCAAAUGCCCGGAUUGAGAGAUAUGAAGUCUCCAAUAAGUUCUACAGCUGCAAGAUGGAGGAGAAUAGUUCUGCCAGUGAGCAUAUACUCAAAAUGUCUGGGUAUAAUAAUCACUUGAUUCAACUGGGAGUUAAUCUUCCGGAUGAUAGCGUCAUUGACAUAAUUCUUCAAUCACUGCCACCAAGCUACAAGAGCUUCGUAAUGAACUAUAAUAUGCAAGGGAUAGAAAAGACGAUUCCCAAGCUCUUCGCAAUGCUAAAGGCUGCGGAGGUAGAAAUCAAGAAGGAGCAUCAAGUGUUGAUGGUCAACAAGACCACUAGUUUCAAGAAAAAGGGCAAAGGGAAGAAGAAGGGGAACUUCAAGAAGAACAGCAAGCAAGUUGCUGCUCAGGAGAAGAAACCCAAGUCUGGACCUAAGCCUGAGACUGAGUGCUUCUACUGCAAGCAAACUGGUCACUGGAAGCGGAACUGCCCCAAGCAUUUGGCGGAUAAGAAGGAUGACAAGGUGAACAAAGGGGCUACGGAUUAA
rnacentral:rRNA from 1 species